GACGAACGCUGGCGGCGUGCUUAACACAUGCAAGUCGAACGGAAAGGCCUGCUUUCCCUUGUGGAUUGCGGGUACUCGAGUGGCGAACGGGUGAGUAACACGUGAGUGAUCUGCCCCCAACUUGGGUAUAAGCCUGGGAAACUGGGUCUAAUUCCCGAUAGGACUGCAGGGUGGUGCCUGUGGUGGAAAACGAUUUUCUAGUGGUUGGGGUUGAGCUCGCGGCCUAUCAGCUUGUUGGUGGGGUAAUGGCCUACCAAGGCGGCGACGGGUAGCCGGCCUGAGAGGGUGGACGGCCACAUUGGGACGGAGAUACGGCCCAGACUCCUACGGGAGGCAGCAGUGGGGAAUAUUGCACAAUGGGCGGAAGCCUGAUGCAGCGACGCCGCGUGGGGGAUGACGGCCUUCGGGUUGUAAACUCCUUUCGACCGCGAGGAAGCCACCUGGUUGGAAGGGUGGUGACGGUAGUGGUAGAAGAAGCACCGGCUAACUACGUG
rnacentral:rRNA from 1 species